rnacentral:rRNA from 1 species
GAGUUUGAUCAUGGCUCAGAUUGAACGCUGGCGGCAGGCCUAACACAUGCAAGUCGAACGGUAACAGGAAACAGCUUGCUGUUUCGCUGACGAGUGGCGGACGGGUGAGUAAUGUCUGGGAAACUGCCUGAUGGAGGGGGAUAACUACUGGAAACGGUAGCUAAUACCGCAUAACGUCGCAAGACCAAAGAGGGGGACCUUCGGGCCUCUUGCCAUCAGAUGUGCCCAGAUGGGAUUAGCUAGUAGGUGGGGUAACGGCUCACCUAGGCGACGAUCCCUAGCUGGUCUGAGAGGAUGACCAGCCACACUGGAACUGAGACACGGUCCAGACUCCUACGGGAGGCAGCAGUGGGGAAUAUUGCACAAUGGGCGCAAGCCUGAUGCAGCCAUGCCGCGUGUAUGAAGAAGGCCUUCGGGUUGUAAAGUACUUUCAGCGGGGAGGAAGGGAGUAAAGUUAAUACCUUUGCUCAUUGACGUUACCCGCAGAAGAAGCACCGGCUAACUCCGUGCCAGCAGCCGCGGUAAUACGGAGGGUGCAAGCGUUAAUCGGAAUUACUGGGCGUAAAGCGCACGCAGGCGGUUUGUUAAGUCAGAUGUGAAAUCCCCGGGCUCAACCUGGGAACUGCAUCUGAUACUGGCAAGCUUGAGUCUCGUAGAGGGGGGUAGAAUUCCAGGUGUAGCGGUGAAAUGCGUAGAGAUCUGGAGGAAUACCGGUGGCGAAGGCGGCCCCCUGGACGAAGACUGACGCUCAGGUGCGAAAGCGUGGGAGCAAACAGGAUUAGAUACCCUGGUAGUCCACGCCGUAAACGAUGUCGACUUGGAGGUUGUGCCCUUGAGGCGUGGCUUCCGGAGCUAACGCGUUAAGUCGACCGCCUGGGGAGUACGGCCGCAAGGUUAAAACUCAAAUGAAUUGACGGGGGCCCGCACAAGCGGUGGAGCAUGUGGUUUAAUUCGAUGCAACGCGAAGAACCUUACCUGGUCUUGACAUCCACGGAAGUUUUCAGAGAUGAGAAUGUGCCUUCGGGAACCGUGAGACAGGUGCUGCAUGGCUGUCGUCAGCUCGUGUUGUGAAAUGUUGGGUUAAGUCCCGCAACGAGCGCAACCCUUAUCCUUUGUUGCCAGCGGUCCGGCCGGGAACUCAAAGGAGACUGCCAGUGAUAAACUGGAGGAAGGUGGGGAUGACGUCAAGUCAUCAUGGCCCUUACGACCAGGGCUACACACGUGCUACAAUGGCGCAUACAAAGAGAAGCGACCUCGCGAGAGCAAGCGGACCUCAUAAAGUGCGUCGUAGUCCGGAUUGGAGUCUGCAACUCGACUCCAUGAAGUCGGAAUCGCUAGUAAUCGUGGAUCAGAAUGCCACGGUGAAUACGUUCCCGGGCCUUGUACACACCGCCCGUCACACCAUGGGAGUGGGUUGCAAAAGAAGUAGGUAGCUUAACCUUCGGGAGGGCGCUUACCACUUUGUGAUUCAUGACUGGGGUGAAGUCGUAACAAGGUAACCGUAGGGGAACCUGCGGUUG